CAGCCGCCACGGUAAUACAGAGGGUGCAAGCGUUAAUCGGAAUUACUGGGCGUAAAGCGCGCGUAGGUGGUUUGUUAAGUUGGAUGUGAAAUCCCCGGGCUCAACCUGGGAACUGCAUCCAAAACUGGCAAGCUAGAGUAUGGUAGAGGGUGGUGGAAUUUCCUGUGUAGCGGUGAAAUGCGUAGAUAUAGGAAGGAACACCAGUGGCGAAGGCGACCACCUGGACUGAUACUGACACUGAGGUGCGAAAGCGUGGGGAGCAAACAGGAUUAGAUACCCGUGUAGUCCCUGUCUCUUAUAC
rnacentral:rRNA from 1 species